rnacentral:rRNA from 1 species
UGGUAUGCACUGGCUCGCUGACUCCUCCUUCUUGUAGAACCGUAAUGCCAUUAAUUUGGUGUUGCGGGGAAACAGGACUGUUACUUUGAAAAAAUUAGAGAGUUUAAAGCAGGCCAACGCCUGAAUACAUUAGCAUGGAAUAAUGAAAUAGGACGUUCGAACCUAUUUUGUUGGUUUCUAGGAUUGACGUAAUGAUUAAUAGGGAUAGUUGGGGGCAUUAGUAUUCAAUUGUCAGAGGUGAAAUUCUUGGAUUUAUUGAAGACUGACUACUGCGAAAGCAUUUGCCAAGGAUGUUUUCAUUAAUCAAGAACGAAAGUUAGGGGAUCGAAGACGAUCAGAUACCGUCGUAGUCUUAACCAUAAACUAUGCCGACUAGGGAUCGGAUGAUGUUAAUUUUUUAAUGACUCAUUCGGCGCCUUACG